rnacentral:rRNA from 1 species
AACGAACGCUGGCGGCAUGCCUAACACAUGCAAGUCGAACGAGACCUUCGGGUCUAGUGGCGCACGGGUGCGUAACGCGUGGGAACCUGCCCUUAGGUUCGGAAUAACUCCCUGAAAGGGGUGCUAAUACCGGAUAAUGUCUUCGGACCAAAGAUUUAUCGCCUUUGGAUGGGCCCGCGUUGGAUUAGCUAGUUGGUAGGGUAAAAGCCUACCAAGGCGACGAUCCAUAGCUGGUCUGAGAGGAUGAUCAGCCACACUGGGACUGAGACACGGCCCAGACUCCUACGGGGGGCAGCAGUGGGGAAUAUUGGACAAUGGGCGAAAGCCUGAUCCAGCAAUGCCGCGUGAGUGAUGAAGGCCUUAGGGUUGUAAAGCUCUUUUACCCGGGAUGAUAAUGACAGUACCGGGAGAAUAAGCUCCGGCUAACUCCGUG